rnacentral:misc_RNA from 1 species
GACCACCUAUCUAUGCAUACUCAAUCUAGGUUUUCAGAUCAGUCAAUAUAUCUACCCGGAUUCUCUCAUAUCAGAUCAAUCCAUUUCUUCGUCACCUAUAUCUUAAACGGCGGAGUUACUAACUUGUGUUGUUGUACAAAGUUGUUGGAAAUACAUAUUUCAUAAAUAAUGAAAUAUGUAUAAUUUUUGUGCUGGACUAGGUCCAGUGCGUAGUGGAGAUCUUUGUAACGGGAUAUCACUGUGUGGAGAUAUGUGUGUGCGCGGCGACUGAGAAACAGACGAAUGUAAACAGUUCUAUCAGUUAACAGUCUUCAAAAGGUCGGGUAUGAAUAAAAGUGCUGAGACGCGCGCAAGUGUACAGCGAUAAAUAUUCUAGAAAUCGUUUAUAAAGUAAAUAUGUGUCUACGUUAAUAGUAAUGGCCAGCGUAAAUUUAAUGUUUCCAUAACAAUAUUUCGGCCAUCAGGAUUCACAAUUCUCAACAUAGUAGCAAAAAUCGUGGUUGACGAGAUUUAAGGUUAUGG